rnacentral:rRNA from 1 species
AGUGAGGAAUAUUGGUCAAUGGACGCAAGUCUGAACCAUCCAUGCCGCGUGCAGGAUGACGGUCCUAUGGAUUGUAAACUGCUUUUGUACGAGAAGAAACACUCCUAUGUAUAGGAGCUUGACGGUAUCGUAAGAAUAAGGAUCGGCUAACUCCGUGCCAGCAGCCGCGGUAAUACGGAGGAUCCAAGCGUUAUCCGGAAUCAUUGGGUUUAAAGGGUCCGUAGGCGGUUUAGUAAGUCAGUGGUGAAAGCCCAUCGCUCAACGGUGGAACGGCCAUUGAUACUGCUGAACUUGAAUUACUGGGAAGUAACUAGAAUAUGUAGUGUAGCGGUGAAAUGCUUAGAUAUUACAUGGAAUACCAAUUGCGAAGGCAGGUUACUACCAGUUUAUUGACGCUGAUGGACGAAAGCGUGGGGAGCGAACAGGAUUAGAUACCCUGGUAGUCCACGCCGUAAACGAUGGAUACUAGCUGUUGGGCGCAAGUUCAGUGGCUAAGCGAAAGUGAUAAGUAUCCCACCUGGGGAGUACGAACGCAAGUUUGAAACUCAAAGGAAUUGA